UACGUAGGGGGCAAGCGUUGUCCGGAAUCAUUGGGCGUAAAGAGCGUGUAGGCGGCUCGGUAAGUCCGCUCUGAAAGCCCGGGGCUCAACCCCGGGAGGCGGGCGGAUACUGUCGGGCUAGAGUCCGGAAGAGGCGAGUGGAAUUCCUGGUGUAGCGGUGAAAUGCGCAGAUAUCAGGAAGAACACCCGUGGCGAAGGCGGCUCUCUGGAACGCAACUGACGCUGAGACGCGAAAGCGUGGGGAGCAAACAGG
rnacentral:rRNA from 1 species